CCUACGGGUGGCAGCAGUGGGGAAUAUUGGGCAAUUGAGGAAACUCUGACCCAGCAAUGCCGCGUGAAUGAAGAAGGUCUUCGGAUUGUAAAGUUCUUUAGACAGGGGAGUAUAAAGUGACGGUACCGGAAGACUAAGCUCCGGCUAAAUACGUGCCAGCAGCCGCGGUAAUACGUAGGGAGCAAGCGUUUUUCGGAAUGACUGGGCGUAAAGGGUGCGUAGGCGGUUAUACAAGUUAGAAGUGAAAUUCCCAGGGCUUAACUCGGGUGCGGCUUCGAAAACUGUAAGACUUGAGUGCAGUAGAGGUUAGUGGAAUUCCUAGUGUAGCGGUGAAAUGCAUAGAUAUCACGCAGAACUCCGAUUGCGAAGGCAGCAUACCGGCGCCCAACUGACGCUGAAGCACGAAAGCGUGGGUAUCGAACAGGAUUAGAUACCCCAGUAGUC
rnacentral:rRNA from 1 species